AAACCUGAGAGUUUGAUCCUGGCUCAGAACGAACGCUGGCGGCAGGCCUAACACAUGCAAGUCGAACGAGAAACAAGACUUCGGUUUUGUGGAAAGUGGCGGACGGGUGAGUAACACGUGGGAAUCUGCCCAGCAGUACGGAAUAACUUCGGGAAACCGGCGCUAAUACCGUAUACGCCCUCCGGGGGAAAGAUUUAUCGCUGCUGGAUGAGCCCGCGCCCGAUUAGCUUGUUGGUAGGGUAAAGGCCUACCAAGGCUACGAUCGGUAGCUGGUCUGAGAGGAUGAUCAGCCACACUGGGACUGAGACACGGCCCAGACUCCUACGGGAGGCAGCAGUGGGGAAUAUUGGACAAUGGGGGCAAC
rnacentral:rRNA from 1 species